UGGUGGAGCGAUUUGUCUGGUUAAUUCCGUUAACGAACGAGACCUCAGCCUGCUAACUAGUUAUGCGGAGGUAUCCCUCCGCGGCCAGCUUCUUAGAGGGACUAUAGCCUUCCAGGCUAAGGAAGUUUGAGGCAAUAACA
rnacentral:rRNA from 1 species